rnacentral:lncRNA from 1 species
GAAGAAGAAGACAGAGAUGUGAUGAUGGAAGCGGAGGUUGGAGUGAUGUGCAUUAAAGAUGGAGGAGGGGCUGCAAGCCAAGCCGUGCAGGCGGCCUCUAGAAGCUGGGAAAGGCAAGGAGACAGCUUCUUGCUUGGAGCCCCCGGGAGAAGCGCAGCCCUGCCGACACCUUGAUUUUAGACUUCUGGCCUCCGGAACCGUAAGAGAAUACAUUUGUCUCAAGUUGGCCGUGCCCGUCCCCUGCCCAUCAUGCCCUUCCAGCUGGCCUUUCAUCCCGCAGCGAACCUCUGUGUGUCCGGCUCAGAGUCUCCAUAAACCGCACCAUGGAGCUGGCCCGAAGAAAAUUUCAAAAACACACAGAAGUCGAGAGGACCAGACACAGAUUCCAGCAUCCCCAGCCCUCGGCUUCAUCCCCGGCAACGUCUGGCAAUCUCGUUUUAUCACCUCCUGUGGGCUCCCUCUCUGGCUUUUUCCCCAUUUGGCUGGAGGAUUUGAAAGCAAAUUGCAGACAUCACGCCACGCACGCAUGUUGUUUUUUCAAAAACUUAAUUUUGAAAUAAUUAUAGAGUCGCAGGGAAUUGCGAAGACAGGACAGCGUGGUCCUGGGUACCCCUCACCCAGUUUCCCCCAGGGGUUACGCCUCACAUACCUAUGCGACAAUAUCAGAACCCCGAACUGACAUAGGUAGAGAGGGUGUGUGUGUGUAUAGUUCCACAGCAUCUCGUCACACAUGUGGCUUUAGUUCACCACCACCGCAAAGAUCUCCCCACGUCCCACCCGCCACCCUGCCCCCGUGACAGCCGCUAAUACUGUCUCCAUCUCUAUAACGUUGUCACUGGAGAACGUUGUGAAAAUGGAAUCACAUAGCAUGUGACCUUUGAAACUGACUCUUUUUCCAUGUAGCAUAAAGCCCUGAGAUUCGUCCCAAUUGUUUCGUGUAUCAGCACGUCAUUCCUUUUUAUGGCUGGGUAGUAAUCCACCAUGCGAAUGGAUCUCAGUCUGCUUAACCGUUCACCUCCUGAGGGGCUGUGUCCAGUUUGGGGCUGUUGUGAAUAAAGCUGCGACAGGCUUUUGUGUGGA